rnacentral:tRNA from 1 species
GGGAUCUUAGCUCAGCUGCGAGAGCAUCUGCCUUACAAGCAGAGGGUCGGCGGUUCGAAUCCGUCAACGCCCA